AAUUUCUACUGAAAUCUAAUGGUUGGGAACCAAAAUGUAUUUCCCUAGGAACUGUGUUCCUGAAAAAUGCAUUGCAUGAAGGCAAAGAAUGUAGUCUUACUCCUUAUGUUUCCAAUACUUAGCACAAAGCUUGGAAUACAGUAGGAUUCUGCCACCUUCAGUCUUCUGGUAGAGUAAAUAUGUAUUUGUGAAAUAAAGGUAAAUGAUUAGACUCCAAGUCCAGUUAACCCAUACUUAUCAUCAGAUGCUCAGAUUAAAUCACACAAGCAUGCUUUCACUUCCUAGAGGACGUAAGUCAUUUUGCUUUCCUUUUAUUCUUGUCUCUAGAGUCUACCAGUAACUAGCAUCAUGGAAACACUUCAGGUGCUGCUGAUUUUGAACGACAAUGCCCCUGACGUUGAAAUACGGAUACUUGUGCCAAAGCACAGGAUGGCCUAGAUGCCAUCCAUGCUGAAGGAUUGUUCUUUCAGAGGCUGAGACAGAUGAAAUAAAUAGUGUUCCUGUUCACUACUUCACUCCCCACACACCUGCAGGAGCAGGCCUGGGCCAGCUUGAAGCUCAGAGCCAGGAACCCAGUCUAGGUCUCCCAGGUGGGUAGCUGAGACAAGUGUUUGCCAUCACCUGUGCACUAUCUAGUAGCUAAAAUCUGGAGUGGAGACAGAAUUCAAACUCAGUUAUUCUGCAGGGUCUUGUGGGCUACGCCAGAUACUCACCCUGUGAACUUUUAAUCCACUUUUUCAUUAACUUUUUGAGUCCCCUAUACUAGCCAUCAAUGAGGAUGAAUUCAGACCCGUUCAGUGGCAUACUGUUGUUAAGUGGUCUCUGCUUUGC